GUCAUGUGGUAGGUCAUGCCUUGACCAGUGGAGGCAGCAGUAGUUCAGAACAGCCCCAGCAGGCAGCACCAGCACCAGCACAACCCAAGGAUACCCACAAUACCAAGGCUAUCAGCAGCAGCCAUAUGCACAGAGUGGUCCAUCAGAACCUCAGGGACCUUGUGCUUGGGAAAUUAAGCAGUUCCUCCAGUGUGCACAGACACAGUCAGAUGUUUCGUUUGUGAAGGAUUUAAUGAAGCUCUAAGGCAAUGCAAGGCUCAGUAUAGAGAAAUGACGGCUUAAGCAAGUCAGGUUAUUUGGCCAGAAUUGCUGAAAUCGUUACUGGUUGUAUAGACACUGCUUUUUGUAGAUUACAAACAUAAUUGAUAAUUAUUGUAUCAUACAUUAAUAUUCACUGUAAUUGUUGUAACAUCAGACAAUACAUUGUUGAAAAAGUCCAGCCCAUUGAAGAUGUGUCUGAGAUAGAAAAUAAAAUAUUUUAUUUAUCUGAA